UACGUAGGGUGCGAGCGUUGUCCGGAAUUAUUGGGCGUAAAGAGCUCGUAGGCGGUGUGUCACGUCGUUCGUGAAAACCUGCAGCUUGACUGUGGGCGUGCGGUCGAUACGGGCAUCACUGGAGUUCGGCAGGGGAGACUGGAAUUCCUGGUGUAGCGGUGAAAUGCGCAGAUAUCAGGAGGAACACCGGUGGCGAAGGCGGGUCUCUGGGCCGAUACUGACGCUGAGGAGCGAAAGCGUGGGGAGCGAACAGG
rnacentral:rRNA from 1 species